GACGAACGCUGGCGGCGUGCUUAACACAUGCAAGUCGAACGGAAAUGCCCUGCUUGCAGGGUACUCGAGUUGCCAACGGGUGAGUAACACGUGUGUGAUCUUCCCUUCUCUUCGGGAUAAGCCUGGGAAACUGGGUCUAAUACCUGCUAGGUGCCAUUUUUAUUCUGAUGGUUGGAAAGUUUUUUCUGUGUAGGAUGAGCUCGCUGCCUUUCAGCUUGUUGGUGUGGUAAUUGCCUACCAAGGCGGCGACGGGUAGCGGUACUGGGUGUGUGAACGACCAAAAUGGGACUGAGAUAAGGCACAGACACGCACGGGAGGCAGAAGGGGGGAAUAUUGAACAAUGGGCGCAAGCCUGAUGAAGCGACGCCGCGUGGGGGAUGACGGACUUCGGGUUGUAGAACAAUUUCGCAAGGGACGAAGCAUUUUGUGACGGUACCUAGAUAAGAAGCACCGGCUAACUACGUG
rnacentral:rRNA from 1 species